AGGACGAACGCUGGCGGCGUGCUUAACACAUGCAAGUCGAGCGAGGCUCCUCCUUCGGGAGGAAGCCCUAGCGGCGAACGGGUGAGUAACACGUGGGCAACCUGCCCCUAGCACUGGGAUAACCCCGGGAAACCGGGGCUAAUACCGGAUACGACUUCGGAAGGCAUCUUCUGAAGUGGAAAAGGUUACUGGCUAGGGAUGGGCCCGCGGCCUAUCAGCUUGUUGGUGGGGUAAUGGCCCACCAAGGCGACGACGGGUAGCCGGCCUGAGAGGGCGACCGGCCACACUGGGACUGAGACACGGCCCAGACUCCUACGGGAGGCAGCAGUGGGGAUAUUGCACAAUGGGCGAAAGCCUGAUGCAGCGACGCCGCGUGAGGGAUGACGGCCUUCGGGUUGUAAACCUCUUUCAGCAGGGACGAAGCGAAGUGACGGUACCUGCAGAAGAAGCACCGGCCAACUACGCGCCAGCAGCCGC
rnacentral:rRNA from 1 species